ACACACAAUAGUAACAACGUAAACAUGAAAAAACAGGACUGUAACGUGUACACGGGAUCAACCAUAUAAUUGCUACUAUAGAGACGGCUUUUGUGAACGUGAUUAUCGGAUGGCUCAUAAGUGCUUUUUUGCAAACGCGAUUCUCUCUCAACGGAAUGGUUUAUUGGUUCGCUUCUCUUGUGCAACAACAACAAAUUAUUCGGAAAUUCAAGUUUUCGAUGGAAGCUUGAGUGUUGUAGAAACAUUGGCUUCUACAACAAUUUGUGGAAUUAUACACGCCAUUUUUGGUGGACAACCUCUGCUAGUUCUAGGAGUUGGAGAACCCACUAUUCUUAUGUACACAUAUUUGUACAAUUAUGCCAAAAAUACGGAGGGCUUGGGACAAGAACUCUAUUUGGCUUGGGUAGCAUGCUGAAGUUGUUCAUUUGAUGAUGGAAUGCAUCAGACACUUGAAUGCCCCUGCCCCUAUUAAACUCUUAAAUUCGCUUCAGGGAACGAGCUGCUUGAAGACAAAUCUGGGUUUCAAAACACCAGGUGAAUGUUUCUUGUAUGACAUGUGGGGCUGCAUAUUGGAGGCGGCUGGAGGGAACCGAAUAUAGUUUUUCUUCUGAUUUCUCAAUCGUCAUACAUAAAAUGAAGUGGUUGCAAACUAGUGUUGGUGAUUUCAGGUGCCCAAAAAAUGCAUUUUAUAUGGUCCAGAGUGGGAGUUUAUAUCUUCUAUAGCUUGUCCCCCCUUCAUUGAUAAUGGAAUACAAGAAUACAAGGCAGAGCUGGAGAAAAUUGGUGUUAUUACUGAACUGAAAGAUAGAUUUGGGUUUGUGGCUGGAUGUCUGAAUUUUCCUUCGGAUCCCUCCAGCAUUAGUCCCGAAAGUGUGUUUUCUUUACUAGAAUGCAUCCAACUGCAAAUGCAAGAUAGUAAGUUUACAAUUGAAGGUGAUUUUAGAAAAAGAUUGUCCGAAUUUCAUUGCAAACUAUGGAGUUCCUUUCAUGAUAGUGGUGUGGACAGCUUUAUCAUUCGCAGUAGUAUCGAGUAAAGUAACUUGCAGAGUUAACAUGAUGAGCUAGAGACUAAGUUCUCUCGUUACACAUAAAACUCUCUGUCCAAGAAGCUCUUUUCUCCAUUUUUGAGCAUUUCUCAUGAAUCAACUUCGCUUCGUCGUGAUUGGUAACCCUAAAGUCCAAAAUCGACUCCGCUCUCCAAAACCCCAUACUCAAAAUCGUGUUUGAUUUCUUAUAAUAUUUUUUAUUGUUUUUUUGAUUUCGUUUUCUCUAAUAUCUUUUAUUUUUGUUUUCUCUAAUUUUUUAUUGAGACAAUGAAGAAGCAUGAUGAAAGCAACUGGAAAAAUAUAGGUGGGUGUGGUAGUAUAUCAAAAUAAUUAUUAAUUUCAAUUGAACUGUUUGAUUAUGUUUAAUCUUUUUUGCUGGCUUAUCAACAAUUUACCACCGUCGAUUCUAAAUCCGUUCUCAAAAGGCUUCACAUUCACUUCUUAAUUCUUACUUUUUCUUGAUUUUCUGUCAAUAUUUGUGUGUUAACUUCAGUUUUUACAAUCAAGUAAUAUAUAAUCUUACUAGCUAAAUGUUAUCAAAUACUAUAAUCAAGAAAAAAAAUUAAAACUUGUUUGGUAUUACUGUAUGUGGAUUUGUAGAUGAAUUUUGUUAUGUGAUGUAGCUUAGCGUUUUUAAAGUUAAUUAGUUAUCUAUUGUGAUUUUUAAUCUUGAUCAGAACCCUAAACAAUUGUUACCAGACAGGCCCUUAUUGUUGUUAUUUAUCUUGUUAAUCUGUUUUCUUAUAGAUCCGGGUCUUCGCACGUCAGAUCUACAGCGCGAUCUUCGCGUCGGUUCUGGUGUUUGGAAUCAAUUCUUAGAAAAGUCCGUUGUUGUUUCCUAAAUCAGCGCUUGAGAAUUUUUUGUUUGCAGGUAUGGUGGUAAAUCGAUGAACAGAUCUUAGAUCCGACGUAUGCUGGUUUCUUCAAAUUAAUGGAUGCAUCAUCUUCUGAUUUCUAGAAGUGCUCUGAGCCCUGGUUCUAGAUUGAUGUUUUCCAGAUUCAUACAUGUAGCUGAGCUCAGAUUUUUUAGUUAUGUAUUUGAUAGGGAGCUUUGCGGGUGGGAGUUUAAUGGAUGUAGGUUGUUUCAGGAUUUACAUAUCUCGAUUCGCUGAGCGUUUUGAGAAUUGAAUCCUGAUUGAUCUUGUCAUCCGACCUUUGCCAUGACAGGUGCGCUUUCUUGGCAGGUCAAAGAAUUAAUAAAAAAAGAUUUGUUGGGUUUUGGGAGAGAUUGCAUAGGAUUUUUGCCCGGGUUCUCUCCCUACACGAUCCCACUCGCGAUCAAUUCGUAGAAGGAUAUCCUAUUCACUAAAACUCUUAUCAAUGCACAUAUUAAUUCAUAGAAGGAUUCCUUGUACUCCAUGGCGAAGCACAUAUUUGGUGAUGCACAUUAUGAGUACAUAUUGAGGUAUUAUCUAUCCAAUUUCACUCAUACUCUUAUCAAUGCAGUGGACAUAUUGUGGUAUUAUCUAUUUAAUUUCACCCACACUCUUAUCAAUGCAAUCCCCAUUUUGAGGUAAUAAAUAUCCGAUCAGCACUCAAACUCAAACCAUCAAUGCAUGCACAUAUUUUGUUAAUAUUAUCUAUCCAUGUAAAAAUUAUUUUAACAUGCUGUUUUAAUUUCACAUACGGAAUUCAAAUUUUAUUCAUAUCAGUUUCUUUCAUCAUUUUGAUUCUUAUUUUAGAAUUGUAGUGUAUUGUCAUUGUGGCUAGCAACAUGUGUAUGUGCAAGGCAUGUAACUUUUCAAAUUCAUGUAACACAAUACUUCAGUUAAGAUUAAAUGUAUCAUUUACCAGUUUCUAGUUGAAGGCUGCAAAGUUAGGUGAAGAAAUAACAACUCAGAUCAAUUGUUAUUUUAGUUGCCAAUGCAUUUACCUCAACGGAUCUCUCAGUUGUGGUCAAAUAUGUCCUCAGUUGAAGGAUGUAAUGACAUGUGAAGAAAUAACAAUUCCUGAACUAUUGCAAGUGCAGUUUUAGUUCAGCUAAUGGUACUACCUUAUUGGAACUUCUGUUGUAAAUACAAAUCAUUUGCCAAUUUAGAGGAGAAUGGAUAUAGAACAUAUGAAGGCACUUGUGAAUCCCAGAAGCUUUUGUUAUGCUCAUACUCAAGUAAGGACAUGGUAUUCCAUGGAUGAAUCCAAUGCUACAUGUGGAAAGCGGUUGGAUUCAAUUGGACUAGAGAACACCGAAGCUAACCGUCAAGCAUGGCCUAAAAUUAUAUAUGAAGAAAGUGUUAUGACUUAGUUAAAAUAUAAUUUUUAUGUGUAUGAUUUUAUAAUACUUGAAAUAUUAUGACUGUACAUGAUUUUGUAUACUUUUUGGUUAAUAUUAAAAAUAUUUUGACUUAGUUAAAAUAUGAUUUUUAUGUGUAUGAUUUUAUAGUAUUUGCAAUAUUAUGACUGAAAAUGAAAUAUAACUAAAUGGUGUAUAUGAAAUAGGGUGUAAAUAGAUUUAAAUAUAAUAUAAUUGUUCAUUCAUAAAUGGCAUAUUAACACCCGAUUUUUAUAAAAAUAGGG